rnacentral:rRNA from 1 species
GACGAACGCUGGCGGCGUGCUUAACACAUGCAAGUCGAACGGAAAGGCCCUGCUUUUGUGGGGUGCUCGAGUGGCGAACGGGUGAGUAACACGUGAGUAACCUGCCCUUGACUUUGGGAUAACUUCAGGAAACUGGGGCUAAUACCGGAUAGGAGCUCCUGCUGCAUGGUGGGGGUUGGAAAGUUUCGGCGGUUGGGGAUGGUCUCGCGGCUUAUCGGCUUGUUGGUGGGGUAGUGGCUUACCAAGGCUGUGACGGGUAGCCGGCCUGGGAGGGGGGCCGGCGACAUUGGGACUGAGGGACGGCCCAGACUGCUACGGGAGGCAGCGGUGGGGAGUAUUGCGCAGUGGGCGGAAGCCUGAUGCAGCGGCGCCGCGGGCGGGAUGACGGGGUUCGGGUGGUAAACCGCUGUCGCCGGUGACGAAGCGGGAGUGACGGUAAUGGGUAAGGAAGCACCGGCUAACUACGUG